AUUGAACGCUGGCGGCAGGCCUAACACAUGCAAGUCGGGCGAGCGGAGGACGGGUGAGUACUGUAUGGGGAUCUGCCUGAUGGAGGGGGAUAACUCCUGGAAACGGUAGCUAACACCGCAUAACCUCAGAUGCACCCAUAUGGGAUUAGCUUGUAGGUGAGGGAACGGCGCACUUAGGCGACGCUCCCUAGCUGGUCUGAAAGGAUGAUCAGCCACACUGGGACUGAGACACGGCCCAGACUCCUACGGGAGGCAGCAGUGGGGAAUAUUGCACAAUGGGCGCAAGCCUGAUGCAGCCAUGCCGCGUGUAUGAAGAAGGCCUUCGGGUUGUAAAGUACUUUCAGUCGGGAGGCGUUACCGACAGAAGAAGCACCGGCUAACACCGUGCCAGCAGCCGCGGUAAUAC
rnacentral:rRNA from 1 species